GAAAUGCGAUAAGUAAUGUGAAUUGCAGAAUUCAGUGAAUCAUCGAAUCUUUGAACGCACCUUGCGCUCCUUGGUAUUCCUUGGAGCAUGCCUGUUUGAGUAUCAUGAAAUCUUCAAAGUAAGUCUUUUGUUAACUCAAUUGGCUUCUACUUUGGUAUUGGAGGUCUUUGCAGCUUCACACCUGCUCCUCUUUGUUCAUUAGCUGGAUCUCAGUGUUAUGCUUGGUUCCACUCGGCGUGAUAAGUUAUCUAUCGCUGAGGACACUGUAAAAGGUGGCCAAGGUAAAUGCAGAUGAACCGCUUCUAAUAGUCCAUUGACUUGGACAAUACUUUUAUGAUCUGAUCUCAAAUCAGGUAGGACUACCCGCUGAACUUAAGC
rnacentral:misc_RNA from 1 species